rnacentral:lncRNA from 1 species
AUUACUACAACACAAUAUACAAUGAAAUAUAUAUUAUAUAUACUAUACUAAUAACUUAGUAUACCAUAUAAAAUAUAUUCUAUAUUGUACUAAUAACUACUAUACAAGAUAUUGCCCUAAAAAAAUCCGUCAUACCCGCCAGGCCCAGGACCACUGUGGGGGCUGGUCUCAAUCGUUAGGACCGCCAUGCCCGGGACCGCCAGGUCCGGUACACGAAGCCCGGGCCGUAUAGACCCGGGCCCGGGCCAAUUUACACCCUUAAAGCAAACUCCAUUUCAACACCAAAAAUUCUGAAGCUUGAACCAGAAUACAAAAAAAAACUAUUUUUAUCUAUAUUUGUUUUUUUUUUUUUUUUUUAAUCUUGAAAUCAAGAAAUGGAAAGGAAAUUUUUCCUUCUAAACUUCAUCUCCAAUAAAACUUCUGAAAGACAAAUCUUCUCUGAAAAUCCCCCUUUUCCAAAAAUCACAAUCCCUCUAGUUAUCAGGCAAACACUUGAUCAAUAAAAGGCUGGGAUCAAUCAAAUCGAUCCCACGCUCCCAUUCAUCCAGCAUAUGCCUUCUAGAGGCUUCCAUCACGUGAGAAGGGAGAUAGGGAUGAAAGAAUUUGUCAAAAAUCAUAAAAAAUAUGGUAAGUGGUGAGAUGGGGGUGCGUGAGGUGAGUUUUGGUGAAGAACUCAUCGGAAACUCAGACGAGUUGAGCAAGUGGACACGACUGAAGAAGUAAGGCUAAAAAAAGACGCUAUUUUUGGGUUCUUUCAUUUAGGGUUAGGUUAUUCCUUCCUUGUGUUAUGUAUUUAGGGGAAUGGGUCAGGUCAGGGGGGCGGGUU